rnacentral:rRNA from 1 species
AUUGAACGCUGGCGGCAGGCCUAACACAUGCAAGUCGAACGAGUGGCGGACGUGUGAGUAAUGUCUGGGAAACUGCCUGAUGGAGGGGGAUCACUACUGGAAACGGUCUCUAAUACCGCAUUCCCUCAGAUGUGCCCAGAUGGGAUUAGCUAGUUGGUGGGGUAAGGGCUCACCAAGGCGACGCUCCCUAGCUGGUCUGAGAGGAUGACCAGCCACACUGGAACUGAGACACGGUCCAGACGCCUACGGGAGGCAGCAGUGGGGAAUAUUGCACAAUGGGCGCAAGCCUGAUGCAGCCAUGCCGCGUGUAUGAAGAAGGCCUUCGGGUUGUAAAGUACUUUCAGCGGGGAGGCGUUACCCGCAGAAGAAGCACCGGCUAACUCCGUGCCAGCAGCCGCGGUAAUAC